AUUGAACGCUGGCGGCAGGCCUAACACAUGCAAGUCGAACGAGUGGCGGACGGGAGAGUAAUGUCUGGGACACUGCCCGAUGGAGGGGGAUAACUACUGGAAACGGUAGCUAAUACCGCAUACCAUCGGAUGUGCCCAGAUGGGAUUAGCUAGUAGGUGGGGUAAAGGCUCACCUAGGCGACGAACCCUAGCUGGUCUGAGAGGGUGACCAGCCACACUGGAACUGAGAUACUGUCCAGAGUCCAGCGAGAGGCAGCAGUGGGUAAUAGUGGGCAAGGGGCGCAAGCCUGAUGCAGCCAUGCCGCGUGUAUGAAGAGGGCCUUAGGGUUGUAAAGUACUUUCAGCGAGGAGGCGUUACGCGCAGAAGAAGCACCGGCUAACUCCGUGCCAGCAGCCGCGGUAGUUC
rnacentral:rRNA from 1 species